CGUGUCGAUUUCCAUUUCCAAUUAGGGACCUACCCAAGGUAGUCCGGCUUGUGCCGCCUAAGUGCCUGUGGUAGCCCAACAUCCCUACUCUUGGAAUGUGUCUGUCCCACUCGACCCCGUAGGCUUCUCGAUACCGCACGAGCGAACAUAAGUCGCGUAGGCUAACUCCGGAGUGCCGGCUUGUAGGGAGCGACCCUCACAAGCAUGUGCGAAUGAGCACAAAUGGCAAGCAAGCAUAGUCCAAGUCUCAAGUAUCCAAUCCUCAUGUCUCUAACAUGGUAGAGUCACUAGCAUCC
rnacentral:lncRNA from 1 species